GAAAGGAAUAGGAUAGCCGCGGGGACGCGGCGGGCUGUCGCCAGCAGGUGGCACCGCCACUCGUCUCCCGGCAGAGCCCCGGCGGAACCAGCCACAACAAACUGCAUUUAUUUAUUUUUUUUUUUUUUGUUAGUAGCAUAUUUUUAAUUAUUAUUAUUUUUUUUCCUAAAAGGUGAGCUCGGGGCUGCGAAGCGCCCGAUGGGGAAGCUUAUAAAAUGUGAUGCUCUCUGGAAGGUCUGUUCACGCAAAACUAAGCGAGGAGUGCCGCCCCAUUUACUCCAGGGAAAUACAGGGCUGUGAGUGCUCCGCACUGCCGUCCCCCUGAGCCGAGGGGCUGAGGCUGCUCGGAGCCCCGGAGGGGCUGCUGAGCCCCACUGAGACGGCCCUCCUGCCGCACCUCGCCGUGGCCGGGACGUGACGAGGACCAGGCGGCCGCUGCAGCCCCGCUGCUGCACACCGCGGUGGGCACCGUGGGAGAGGGGGCCGUGCCUCCAUGAGGCAGUGUGAGUCAGCAAAAUAGGGCUGACUGAGCACUUAUCUGGGCAUCGACCGAGCAUCGGUGACUUAGCGUUUACUAGGCGGAGCUACCGACGUGCCUAAAGCGAGCAGCCUUAAGAUACUCCCAGAAAGUGAAUGCCCCAGCCCUGCCCUGGGCGAGGCUCUGCCCCUGCCGAGGACAUCUGAGGGACUGCAGGAGGAAUCAUCCCAAGAGGUCCCGCUGGCCCAUGGCUCAGCUUUCUGUGUAAAGUAUGCCCCGAUGAUGAAGAAGAAGAAAACCAGCUCAGCCCAGAUUAUUCCAUUAAACACAGCCUCUGGUCACUGGAGAGAAGCGGAAGCACAAAGUCGGGUUCACAGAUCUGUUGCACACAGAGACUGUAUUGAGAGUCGUGUUAAAAAUAUCUGGGUGACUGUAAGCCUGAAACCAUUUUGUGUCUAAAACUGAUUUCCAUUUCCUUUUCCUUUCUUUUGUUUUUGUUCCACUUGUUAUAAAAAGGCCUUUCCACAACCCUCCACCAUGGUGCUCCGCACUCAGCUCUUCUAAGGUGCUUAUAAAAAAUGCUUUUAAUGGUACAACGCGUAGACAUCUUUCAACGUGUCUCUCAAAUCGAGGGCACUUUUUCGUCCAUCCUGGGCUGAUGGAUCACUGGGAAGAGUGCUGUGACAUGGAGUGUCCCCGCUCCAGCUCAGCACAGGUUUUGCUUUGUGGCUCCCUGGCAAGUGGGGGAGGCUGCGCUCCUGCUGCUCCCAAUGGGCUGGGGGCUGAUUUCAGGCACAGGUGAUAUGCUUGGAUCUAUUUGGGAGUGGACACAUGCUGAAUAGCUGAAAUGCAGUGAGUGUAGCAGUGUAGUAUAACCUAUAGUGAAUGCAAAGAGAGCACUGCAAAACAAAGAUGGUAUACAGGCCAUUUGCCUGGGAGCUGCUAGUAUUUGAAAUCAUCACGCUAUCAGUUCAACCCAUCCCUCCAAGUUGACAGUUGUAUUUUAGCACGGUGCAUUCCUCGAAAUGAAUAUAAUAAUCAGCAAGCUCUUACCAAAUUUCCCUAAUUAGCUUUUGGAUGUGAUUUCUCACUGCAAAACUUUGAGACGCCGUAUGCAGGGCAUAGGUAGAUCUUCUCCAGCAUGAUGAUGGCCCUUUGUGUGGCAUGACAGCUAACUCUCUAAUUAAUCUUCGAAAUGUCAGAGCUGCUGGAAGUAAUUGGGCUUGACAGUUCAAGGGCUAAUUAACUUCAAACCCUGCAUUUUCUCUCACUUCCUCCACCAUUCUAGGUCAAUUAUUUACUUUCUUUCUACAUGAUUUUUAGUGUUCAGGGGUGUUUCCAUGCCUGCUUUGCUGGGCAUUUAAGGCCAAGACCAAGGGCAUCGUGCUGGCUGGGCUGCACUGUGUGAGUUCUCCUGGGGCAUUCUGAUUCUGUGGGGCUGCAGGCAGAGAAGGAGCACCAGGAGGCAGCAGCAGUAUCCUGGGAGCAGGGGCUGCUCCAAGGUGGGCAGCCUAUGGGGCAGAGCCAACGUCAUUAAUCACUACCGCCAUCCCAGUGAGGCAGCAGGGAGCUGCUCGGUGUUUCCUGCUCCAGCUCUCCCGGGGCUGCCAUCCCAUUUGUCUUCCCCUCUCUGCAGGCUGGAGUGACCCUCGGCAGACAGAAGAUGAAGGGUUUUUGCAGCAGAGGAUCCAAGCCCCAUCCCCUGCUGCCUGUCCCUGUGCUGAGUGACCUUGUGGCUAUUACUAGAAAUGCAUGAAUAGCCUUUUCUCUUGCUGAUGGGCUCAGCAGCCGGUCAUGCAGCAGUAUAGAGCGGGUCUUUGUGAGAGCAGCGUGCACACGGGUUCCUCAGCUGCCUCCUGCAUCUCGUUGCUUUCUGCAUCCAGUUCACAAGGGCAGAAGGCAAGGAGCUGUGUGGGAGGCACCCCUAUAGGUGCGGGCUGCCCUCAGGCUCUCCCCUCUAGCCUGGCUCAUACCUGAGCAGGGGGAUCAUCUGCUCCGGAAAGACGGCUGCAAAAGCUGUCUGAGAUUUCUUUGCCACUUUCAUCUCCUCAUUUCCU